rnacentral:rRNA from 1 species
GACGAACGCUGGCGGCGUGCUUAACACAUGCAAGUCGAACGAUGAAGCACCAGCUUGCUGGUGUGGAUUAGUGGCGAACGGGUGAGUAACACGUGAGUAACCUGCCCCUCACUCUGGGAUAAGCCUGGGAAACUGGGUCUAAUACUGGAUACGACCGAUCUCCGCAUGGAGUGUUGGUGGAAAGUUUUUGUGGUGGGGGAUGGACUCGCGGCCUAUCAGCUUGUUGGUGGGGUAAUGGCCUACCAAGGCGACGACGGGUAGCCGGCCUGAGAGGGCGACCGGCCACACUGGGACUGAGACACGGCCCAGACUCCUACGGGAGGCAGCAGUGGGGAAUAUUGCACAAUGGGCGAAAGCCUGAUGCAGCGACGCCGCGUGAGGGAUGACGGCCUUCGGGUUGUAAACCUCUUUCACCAGGGACGAAGCUAACGUGACGGUACCUGGAGAAGAAGCACCGGCUAACUACGUG